GAAUGUGUGUAAUGCAAACUCGUGUUUCGGGAAAGCAUGUUUAACAAAUAAUAUGUGUGUGGAUUUUCAUGAUCAAUGUAUAUGCAACGUGGGUUAUAAAAUGAAUUCAACCACUGGGGAUUGCGACGAUGUGGACGAAUGCGCCAACCAUUACCACGAUCCUUGCGGACACAGAGGAAGCUGUACCAAUUCUCUCGGCAGUUUCUUUUGCAACUGUCUCUAUGGUUGGACAAAUGAUACGCACUGCUUAACGAAAGUGCAAGACUGUCCUCUAUGUAUGCCAGGGUAUGAAGGAUCGAGAUGUGAUUACACAGUCUGCGAACACGGGUUUGCUGAACCAAUAGGCAUGAAUAAUUUUUCGUAUGUAUAAUAUUCUCAACGCACAUUUAUCAAACGGUUAACAUAUAAUCUAUAAAAAAAACAUGAACAUUUAUUGGGUACAUAAUCGGGCAAAAACUGUGUUUGUUAGUGUUUAUUCUUUUAGCAGUAUUUCUUUGUAAUAAACGAUACAAUCAUAAUUUGCAAUCCAAAGCGCUACAGUUGCUAGAGUG